rnacentral:misc_RNA from 1 species
AGGAGGUUUACAGGACUCAAACAGCAUGGAUCAUUCCUGAUGCUGAGCUUCGGGAAGAUUUGCGAAUUUCAACAUCUCUGAAGGUGAUUCAGGCCUAUCGAACAUUUGUUGGAAGGCAUACAAAUCACAUAAGCGACAAGCACAUCAAGUACAGUGCUGAUGACUUACAAAAUUAUUUGUUGGAUCUCUUUGAGGGAUCUCAAAAAUCAUUGCACAAUCCCCACAGGAGAUGAUUUAAGAAUAGAUUAGAUUUAUUUUUGGAAUGUAAUGAGUUAAGGCUUUCGGCUUUAUGUCCUCUGCUAAUGUAAAUCUUAUUUUCUCCUCCUCUGCUCUUGUAAGUUCUAUUUGAUCAAUAACCCAAUGUUUCUAUGCCAAACCUCAACUAGUAGUUGUGUCUUAAAUCUAAAUAUUAGUUCCAGAAAA